rnacentral:rRNA from 1 species
CCUACGGGUGGCAGCAGUGAGGAAUAUUGGUCAAUGGACGAGAGUCUGAACCAGCCAAGUCGCGUGAGGGAUGACUGCCCUAUGUAUUGUAAACUUCUUUUAUCUGGGAAUAAAACAGGGUAUGCAUACCCUCUUGUGUGUACCAUAUGAAUAAGCAUCGGCUAACUCCGUGCCAGCAGCCGCGGUAAUACGGAGGAUCCGAGCGUUAUCCGGAUUUAUUGGGUUUAAAGGGUGCGGAGGUGGAUUGUUAAGUCAGUUGUUAAAGGUUGCGGCUCAACCGUAAAAUUGCAGUUGAAACUGGCAGUCGUGAGUAGAGUAGAGGUGUGCGGAAUGCGUGGUGUAGCGGUGAAAUGCUUAGAUAUCACGAAGAACUCCGAUUGCGAAGGCAGCUCACCGGACUGCAACUGACACUGAUGCUCGAAAGUGUGGGUAUCAAACAGGAUUAGAUACCCGGGUAGUC